CUGCGUGAACUCUAAAAGAGGGUGCGUGUCACAGGUGGAAUAAUUAAAAUCCAGCAUCCAACAUUGAUGAGCACAAAGAGGAUUCCGUUAUUGUCUGAGUACUAAAACCGGUGCAAAAAAAAAAAAAAAAAAACAUGAACAAACGACUGCAAGAUGGCUGCCCAUCCUCGCUUCGCUAUCUUAAUUGCGCUGAGUGCUGGAGAAGAUGGCGUGGCUGGACUGCCUGCUGCCUGUCUCGUCGGUGCUUUUUCUUCUCGUGACGAGCAGAAAAGAACAAGAACGUCUUUUGUUUGCCUUUGAUUGGUGCUCGAACAAUGGGACUGGCAGAAAAAAAAUAAAAGGGACAUUGCUUCGUAA